rnacentral:rRNA from 1 species
CGAGUUUACAACUCCCCAAACCCCUGUGAAAUACCUAUACGUUGCCUCGGCGGAUCAGCCCGCGCCCCGUAAAACGGGACGGCCCGCCCGAGGACCCCUAAACUCUGUUUUUAGUGGAACUUCUGAGUAAAACAAACAAAUAAAUCAAAACUUUCAACAACGGAUCUCUUGGUUCUGGCAUCGAUGAAGAACGCAGCAAAAUGCGAUAAGUAAUGUGAAUUGCAGAAUUCAGUGAAUCAUCGAAUCUUUGAACGCACAUUGCGCCCGCCAGUAUUCUGGCGGGCAUGCCUGUUCGAGCGUCAUUUCAACCCUCAAGCUCAGCUUGGUGUUGGGACUCGCGGUAACCCGCGUUCCCCAAAUCGAUUGGCGGUCACGUCGAGCUUCCAUAGCGUAGUAAUCAUACACCUCGUUACUGGUAAUCGUCGCGGCCACGCCGUUAAACCCCAACUUCUGAAGUUGACCUCGGAUCAGGAGGAA